AGUGAACGCUGGCGGUAGGCCUAACACAUGCAAGUCGAACGGUAGCACAGAGGAGCUUGCUCCUUGGGUGGCGAGUGGCGGACGGGUGAGGAAUACAUCGGAAUCUACUCUGUCGUGGGGGAUAACGUAGGGAAACUUACGCUAAUACCGCAUACGACCUACGGGUGAAAGCAGGGGAUCUUCGGACCUUGCGCGAUUGAAUGAGCCGAUGUCGGAUUGGCUAGUUGGCGGGGUAAGGGCCCACCAAGGCGACGAUCCGUAGCUGGUCUGAGAGGAUGAUCAGCCACACUGGAACUGAGACACGGUCCAGACUCCUACGGGAGGCAGCAGUGGGGAAUAUUGGACAAUGGGCGCAAGCCUGAUCCAGCCAUACCGCGUGGGUGAAGAAGGCCUUCGGGUUGUAAAGCCCUUUUGUUGGGAAAGAAAUCCGUCUGGUUAAUACCCGGGUGGGAUGACGGUACCCAAAGAAUAAGCACCGGCUAACUUCGUGCCAGCCGCCGCAGUAA
rnacentral:rRNA from 1 species